AGGCAACCUGCCUGUAAGACUGGGAUAACUACCGGAAACGGUAGCUAAUACCGGAUAGCUGGUUUUCUCGCAUGAGAGAAUCAUGAAAGACGGAGCAAUCUGUCACUUAUGGAUGGGCCUGCGGCGCAUUAGCUAGUUGGUGAGGUAAUGGCUCACCAAGGCGACGAUGCGUAGCCGACCUGAGAGGGUGAACGGCCACACUGGGACUGAGACACGGCCCAGACUCCUACGGGAGGCAGCAGUAGGGAAUCUUCCGCAAUGGACGAAAGUCUGACGGAGCAACGCCGCGUGAGUGAUGAAGGUUUUCGGAUCGUAAAGCUCUGUUGCCAGGGAAGAACGUCUUAGAGAGUAACUGCUCUAAGAGUGACGGUAUCUGAGAAGAAAGCCCCGGCUAACUACGUGCCAGCAGCCGCGGUAAUACGUAGGGGGCAAGCGUUGUCCGGAAUUAUUGGGCGUAAAGCGCGCGCAGGCGGCUAUGUAAGUCUGGUGUAUAACCUCGGGGCUCAACCCCGGGUCGCACCGGAAACUGUGUAGCUUGAGUACAGAAGAGGAGAGUGGAAUUCCACGU
rnacentral:rRNA from 1 species